AUGGCCAACGAGGGCUUGAUCCCUCACGGAGCUGCGAGGUUGCCGGGGAAGGAGUGGCAGCCACAGCCAGAAGAGGGUGAGUGUGUGCUUUUGGCCACUCAUGUUGAUCGUGGGUUUUCCUUGCCGCCGAGUAUUUUCUUUCGUGGCUUUUUGAACUUCUUCGGAGCGCAGCUCCACCACUUUACCCCAAACUCCAUUGCCUAUCUUGCUGCGUUCGUGUCCAUGUGUGAGGGCUUCUUGGGCUGUCGACCGCACUGGGGUUUGUUCAAACAUAUAUUCACGUGUCGAUCUCAGACCGUGAAGAAGGCGAGCCCCGGUGAUGAGAGAACCCGAGUCGUCCAAAUGUGCGGGGGCCUGGGGAUUCAGGUGAGGAAUAAGAGCACCUUCCCGCCCAUGACCUUUCCCGAGUCCGUUAGAGGCUGGCAGUCGACUUGGUUCUACUGCCAGGUCCAGUCGACGCCAGGGCAGUCGAGUGGACUCCCUCCGUUCAUCAUGGACCGAGUGAGCAAGCCUUCCCCUUUGAAGCUGAUUCCGGAGGAGAGAGCCGACGUGAAGAUGUUGAUGGAGCGCGUGGUGCAGUUGGUUCGGGAGGGAGUGACAGGCAUGGACCUCUUGGAGGUUUUCCUCAGGCGUCGCAUCCAGCCUCUCCAGUUCCGGAGCCACUGCAUGUGGUUGUACUGUGGGACCGAAGACGAGACCAGAGUCCAUCCAGAAGCAGUCGACGAUGUCACUCUGGAAAGAUGGAUGGCGGCCGUCACCGGAAACAAGGACAACCCGCGCGGAGCCAGAAGGGUUCCUCCACUCGACCACAACAGCGACUCAGACAAGGUACACUUGCUCUGCUCUCCACUGUGCCCUCGUCGUAUUUAUUUCUGUUAA
rnacentral:rRNA from 1 species